CAGUCGCCACGGGAAUACGAAGGGGGCUAGCGUUGUUCGGAAUUACUGGGCGUAAAGCGCACGUAGGCGGCUGUGUAAGUCAGAGGUGAAAGCCCGGGGCUCAACCCCGGAAUAGCCUUUGAGACUGCAUAGCUUGAACACGGGAGAGGUGAGUGGAAUUCCGAGUGUAGAGGUGAAAUUCGUAGAUAUUCGGAAGAACACCAGUGGCGAAGGCGGCUCACUGGACCGUUGUUGACGCUGAGGUGCGAAAGCGUGGGGAGCAAACAGGAUUAGAUACCCCAGUAGUCCCUGUCUCUUAUAC
rnacentral:rRNA from 1 species